UACGUAGGGUGCAAGCGUUGUCCGGAAUUAUUGGGCGUAAAGAGCUCGUAGGCGGUUCGUCGCGUCGGCUGUGAAAACCCGGAGCUCAACUCCGGGCCUGCAGUCGAUACGGGCGGACUUGAGUGUUGCAGGGGAGACUGGAAUUCCUGGUGUAGCGGUGAAAUGCGCAGAUAUCAGGAGGAACACCGGUGGCGAAAGCGGCGCACUGGACCGCAACUGACGCUGAGGCGCGAAAGCGUGGGGAGCAAACAGG
rnacentral:rRNA from 1 species